UCCGCUCCGCCCGCCCCCCGCGCCCUGCGGCUCACGUCCCGGAGACUUCGGCGCAGGGACCCGCGCCUCAAGAUGGAGCUGGACCCUUCCCUGCGCCGCCCUCCCGAGGCCGCGGCGGGGCGAGGGGUAGGCACUGCCUUGCACCUCGAUUUCCGGUCAUCCCUGGAUUUUUUUUGUCUUGAGAGCUGGGGACAUCUGGAAGUGGAAGUCUCGUGCAUUCGCUGCGGAAAGCUCUGGACAGAUCAUUCAGUGGGGAAAGCCACGGGCGGCACCGUAUGCGUUUCUGAAUUUCAUAGCAAACACCAGAGACCACUAAUCCCCUCAAAGGCUGUUGCGAAACUCCCCGUGGGCUGCGGGCACAUGGAGACAAUUAACAUGAUUUAUACGACACAAGAGCUAUUGGAAAGAGGAAACCUUCUGCCUCCACAUGUGCCUGGGGUUCCUAAGUCAAAGAGUGUGGCUGUGCUGCCCUGGUCUCGACCCACACUCAGGCUCUGUGGAGAUUAAUCUUCCCUGGAGGGAACACGGGCCCGCUACGUCAGCCAAGAUGCAAAACGCAAGUGACUGUUGGCCUGUGAGGACAACUUUUAAGACGGAUGCUCAAGUGUCCACACCAACCCUUAUCCUGUGUCCCUCCUGCCACCUGCUGCCUUGCCAGACUCUCAUCGUUGUGUUAAAGACCCGCGGAGAUUUUCUACGCGUUGCCUUUCAACUCAGGGUCCAAGGUCAGCAAAUGGUCCUUGCGGUAUAGGAACUGAGUAAUGUUUGAGAUUACGUUACAAAUAGAAGUAAUCACACGGACAUUUCCUUAACUGUCUUUGUAGCAUCAUCAUCACCAUCAUCACCAUCAUCAUCUCUAACACUUCUAGAUCUUUCAUUUUGUGCUCAGCACUAUUUUAAAUACUUUGACAAAUACUCUGACUCAUUUAAUCCUCACAAUAAUCUGAUGACGUUACUAUUGUCAUUGGCCCCAUCGAACAAAGAAAUGGAGACACGCA